rnacentral:rRNA from 2 species
UACAGAGGUCUCAAGCGUUGUUCGGAUUCAUUGGGCGUAAAGGGUGCGUAGGCGGCGCGGUAAGUCGGGUGUGAAAUCUUGGAGCUUAACUCCGAAACUGCAUUCGAUACUGCCGUGCUUGAGGACUGGAGAGGAGACUGGAAUUUACGGUGUAGCGGUGAAAUGCGUAGAUAUCGUAAGGAAGACCAGUGGCGAAGGCGAGUCCCUGGACAACUCCUGACACUGAGGCACGAAAGCUAGGGGAGCAAACAGG